GAGCUUGCUCUCUGGAUCAGUGGCGAACGGGUGAGUAACACGUGAGCAAUCUGCCCUUGACUCUGGGAUAAGCGCUGGAAACGGCGUCUAAUACCGGAUACGAGCUGUGAAGGCAUCUUCAACAGCUGGAAAGAACUUCGGUCAAGGAUGAGCUCGCGGCCUAUCAGCUAGUUGGUGAGGUAAUGGCUCACCAAGGCGUCGACGGGUAGCCGGCCUGAGAGGGUGACCGGCCACACUGGGACUGAGACACGGCCCAGACUCCUACGGGAGGCAGCAGUGGGGAAUAUUGCACAAUGGGCGCAAGCCUGAUGCAGCAACGCCGCGUGAGGGACGACGGCCUUCGGGUUGUAAACCUCUUUUAGCAGGGAAGAAGCGAAAGUGACGGUACCUGCAGAAAAAGCACCGGCUAACUACGUGCCAGCAGCCGCGGUAAUACGUAGGGUGCAAGCGUUAUCCGGAAUUAUUGGGCGUAAAGAGCUCGUAGGCGGUUUGUCGCGUCUGCUGUGAAAACUGGGGGCUCAACCCCCAGCCUGCAGUGGGUACGGGCAGACUAGAGUGCGGUAGGGGAGAUUGGAAUUCCUGGUGUAGCGGUGGAAUGCGCAGAUAUCAGGAGGAACACCGAUGGCGAAGGCAGAUCUCUGGGCCGUAACUGACGCUGAGGAGCGAAAGGGUGGGGAGCAAACAGGCUUAGAUACCCUGGUAGUCCACCCCGUAAACGUUGGGAACUAGUUGUGGGGACC
rnacentral:rRNA from 1 species